UACGUAGGGGGCAAGCGUUGUCCGGAAUCAUUGGGCGUAAAGAGCGUGUAGGCGGUUCGGUAAGUCGGCUGUGAAAGUCCAGGGCUCAACCCUGGGAUGCCGGUCGAUACUGCCGGACUAGAGUUCGGAAGAGGCGAGUGGAAUUCCCGGUAUAGCGGUGAAAUGCGCAGAUAUCGGGAGGAACACCUAUGGCGAAGGCAGCUCGCUGGGACGUUACUGACGCUGAGACGCGAAAGCGUGGGGAGCAAACAGG
rnacentral:rRNA from 1 species